AGUGAACGCUGGCGGUAGGCCUAACACAUGCAAGUCGAACGGCAGCACAGAGGAGCUUGCUCCUUGGGUGGCGAGUGGCGGACGGGUGAGGAAUACAUCGGAAUCUACUCUGUCGUGGGGGAUAACGUAGGGAAACUUACGCUAAUACCGCAUACGACCUACGGGUGAAAGCAGGGGACCUUCGGGCCUUGCGCGAUUGAAUAAGCCGAUGUCGGAUUAGCUAGUUGGCGGGGUAAAGGCCCACCAAGGCGACGAUCCGUAGCUGGUCUGAGAGGAUGGUCCGCCACACUGGAACUGAGACACGGUCCAGACUCCUACGGGAGGCAGCAGUGGGGAAUAUUGGACAAUGGGCGCAAGCCUGAUCCAGCCAUACCGCGUGGGUGAAGAAGGCCUUCGGGUUGUAAAGCCCCUUUGUUGGGAAAGAAAUCCAGCUGGCUAAUACCCGGUUGGGAUGACGGUACCCAAAGAAUAAGCACCGGCUAACUUCGUGCCAGCCGCCGCCGUAA
rnacentral:rRNA from 1 species